rnacentral:rRNA from 1 species
CCGAUCUCAGGCUUGAAUCGCAGAGAUCANCAAANNNCCCGGCGCUGUAGGAUGUGGGCUGCGGUUGAUUAGGUAGACGGUGGGGUAACGGCCCACCGUGCCAUAAUCAGUACAGGUUGUGAGAGCAAGAACCUGGAGACGGAAUCUGAGACAAGAGUCCAGGCCCUACGGGGCGCAGCAGGCGCGAAACCUUUACACUGCACGACAGUGCGAUAAGGGGACCCCGAGUGCGAGGGCAUAUAGUCCUCGCUUUUCUGUACCGUAAGGUGGUACAGGAACAAGUGCUGGGCAAGACCGGUGCCAGCCGCCGCGGUAAUACCGGCAGCACGAGUGAUGGCCGAUGUUAUUGGGCCUAAAGCGUUCGUAGCCCGCCGAUCAAGUCUGUCGGGAAAUCCACGCGCUCAACGCGUGGGCGUCCGGCAGAUACUGAUCGGCUUGGGGCCGGACGACCUGAGGGGUACGUCCGGGGUAGGAGUGAAAUCCUGUAAUCCCGGACGGACCACCGGUGGCGAAAGCGCCUCAGGAGGACGGACCCGACGGUGAGGGACGAAAGCUAGGGUCACGAACCGGAUUAGAUACCCGGGUAGUCCUAGCCGUAAACGAUGCUCGUUAGGUGUGGCGCAGGCUACGAGCCUGCGCUGUGCCGCAGGGAAGCCGUGAAACGAGCCGCCUGGGAAGUACGUCCGCAAGGAUGAAACUUAAAGGAAUUGGCGGGGGAGCACUACAACCGGAGGAGCCUGCGGUUUAAUUGGAUU